rnacentral:rRNA from 1 species
AUACGUAGGGGGCAAGCGUUAUCCGGAUUUACUGGGAGUAAAGGGAGCGUAGACGGUUUGGCAAGUCUGAUGUGAAAGCCCGGGGCUCAACCGCGGGACUGCAUUGGAAACUGUCAGACUUGAGUGCAGGCGAGGUAAGUGGAAUUCCUAGUGUAGCGGUGAAAUGCGUAGAUAUUAGGAGGAACACCGGUGGCGAAGGCGGCUUACUGGACUGUAACUGACGUUGAGGCUCGAAAGCGUGGGGAGCAAACAGGAUUAGAUACCCUGGUAAUCCACGCCGUAAACGAUGAAUACUAGGUGUUGGGAGACAAUAGUUUCUCGGUGCCGCAGCAAACGCAAUAAGUAUUCCACCUGGGGAGUACGUUCGCAAGAAUGAAACUCAAAUGAAUUGACGGGG